rnacentral:rRNA from 1 species
AUUGAACGCUGGCGGCAGGCCUAACACAUGCAAGUCGAGCGGAUGAAGGGAGCUUGCUCCUGGAUUCAGCGGCGGACGGGUGAGUAAUGCCUAGGAAUCUGCCUGGUAGUGGGGGAUAACGUCCGGAAACGGGCGCUAAUACCGCAUACGUCCUGAGGGAGAAAGUGGGGGAUCUUCGGACCUCACGCUAUCAGAUGAGCCUAGGUCGGAUUAGCUAGUUGGUGGGGUAAAGGCCUACCAAGGCGACGAUCCGUAACUGGUCUGAGAGGAUGAUCAGUCACACUGAAACUGAGACACGGUCCAGACUCCUACGGGAGGCAGCAGUGGGGAAUAUUGGACAAUGGGCGAAAGCCUGAUCCAGCCAUGCCGCGUGUGUGAAGAAGGUCUUCGGAUUGUAAAGCACUUUAAGUUGGGAGGAAGGGCAGUAAGUUAAUACCUGCUGUUUUGACGUUACCAACAGAAUAAGCACCGGCUAACUUCGUG